rnacentral:rRNA from 1 species
AUUGAACGCUGGCGGCAGGCCUAACACAUGCAAGUCGAACGAGUGGCGGACGGGUGAGUAAUGUAUGGGCAACUGCCCGAUGGAGGGGGAUAACUAAUGGAAACGGUAGCUAAUACCGCCUACCAUCGGAUGUGCCCAGAUGGGAUUAGCUAGUAGGUGGGGUAAAGGCUCACCUGGGCGACGAUCUCUAGCUGGUCUGAGAGGAUGACCAGGCACACUGGAACUGAGACACGGUCCAGACUCCUACGGGAGGCAGCAGGGGGGAAUAUUGCACAAUGGGAGCAAGCCUGAUGCAGCCAUGCCGCGUGUAUGAAGAAGGCCUUCGGGUUGUAAAGUACUUUCAGCGGGGAGGCGUUACCCGCAGAAGAAGCACCGGCUAACUCCGUGCCAGCAGCCGCGGUAAUUC